AGGAGGAAGUGGCACUGGGUGGUUUGCGAAGAAUUACCCGACCAGAAAUCUUGAUUUCGAUAUGUACAAGAUUGAGACAGUAACGGAGGUGUCAUCAGGGAAGGAGGUGCUACAGGUGGAAGAGGUAAUUGGGAUGUCGGGUUGGUUGAGGAAGAAUGUGAAGGAGGAAGAAUAUGUAGUGAUGAAGGCUGAGGCAGAAGUGGUAGAGGAGAUGAUGGAGAGCAAGGCAGUAAGGUUGGUUGACGAGCUUUUCCUGGAGUGCAGGCCGCGAGGACACGGAGGAAAGGGGAAUAAUGGAGGCAGAAGGGCUUAUUGGGAGUGCUUGGCUUUGUAUGGAAGGUUAAGGGAUGAGGGUGUUGCGGUGCAUCAAUGGUGGGGUUAAGAAAGAAAGAGAGAGAGAGAGGUGAUCACAGAAAGAAAUAGAAAUCCCUUCUACAUUAGUUUUCAAUUCGUUUCAUUGUUCGUAUAAUUUUUGUGUGUUAAAUUUGUUAUUUUUCAUGGUGGAAGACCUUGGAGGAUCUGAGUGUUUCCGCACCUUCCUAGCCUAUUAGGAGGAAUUUUUAUUUGCUUGCUUUGUUAUCUGUCUACUUCAAAUGAGUGUUUCUUGAUCAUAAUUAAUGGAUGAAUA
rnacentral:misc_RNA from 1 species